CGAUUAAAAAUGGGAACACGCCGUCCGCUAGUACUAUUAGCGGAUGUAGUUAAUGAAUUAUUUAGACACUUAUGCCCUAAUUUAGCCAAGACAAAUCAACAACGACUCGAGCAUCCGCUAGUCUUACUAGCGGACGAAUAACAUAUUGAAAAAAUAGCAGUACUAAACAUAUCAAAGAGAUUUAAAAGGACUAGAUCCAGUUAAGGAAGAACAAAAAUGUAUCAAAGAGAAAGAGCAAACCUUAAACCUGAACCCAAAAUCAAAACAACUUCGAUCUAAACAACCCCCAAAGAUGAACAAAACCAGAGCAAGUAACUUGGGAUGUCCAAGGGACCAACCAAAAUGAGAUGAGAAGGAUUUGCAUAUCAAACCAUACACCCAGUCCACACCCCGGUGAAGAACAACUAGGGCCUCCCAAUCCCUAGUAUACGGAUGACCAGUGAAGAAAGGGAAGGAAUAGAAGCGAAAUAAAUCAUCAUAUAUAUCAUAUAUCAGUGGACUCAAAUAACCCAGGAAGUUAACCCAAGAUAAUAAGAACCAAACAAACUAAAUCGAUUAGAACUAAAAAAGGGAAAAACAAGGAACAACUCACCGACUAAGCAAGAUGAACAACUCAAAAGAAACUAUGAAGCUUUUAUCUCUCACUCCUCUUCGGAGAGACCAACAUCCUCUAAGCGCUACCCCUGCCCAGGAGAGUUCAAACGGAGAUAAAAAAUUGCGAAGUGGGAAGAACAUAAGAACCGUAACUAAUCCCAGAAGAUAAAAAAAUAGGCACACAAAAAAAAUAGCCCAAAGGGGGCGGCUCGGGAGGAGGCAGAGGUGGAGCCACAAGAUCAAAGAUGAAAACCUAGAUAGAAGUUGGAGCUUCUCUCUCUUCAGCACUACCAUCCUCCUUAAACUCACUUAGAAGUCCCAAUUAUCCUGCUGCUUUUGUUUCCGUCUUUGCCUGGCUUUCUAUACAUUUCGUCCACUAGAAGUACUAGGGAUUGCUAACUGGGGCGAAAGGGGAAAAAU
rnacentral:lncRNA from 1 species